UACGAAGGGGGCUAGCGUUGUUCGGAAUUACUGGGCGUAAAGCGCGCGUAGGCGGACUGAUCAGUUGGGGGUGAAAUCCCAGGGCUUAACCCUGGAACUGCCUCCAAUACUGUCAGUCUUGAGUUCGGGAGAGGUGAGUGGAAUUCCUAGUGUAGAGGUGAAAUUCGUAGAUAUUAGGAAGAACACCAGUGGCGAAGGCGGCUCACUGGCCCGAUACUGACGCUGAGGCGCAAAAGCGUGGGGAGCAAACAGGAUUAGAGACCCUAGUAGUCC
rnacentral:rRNA from 1 species